rnacentral:rRNA from 1 species
AUUGAACGCUGGCGGCAGGCCUAACACAUGCAAGUCGAACGAGUGGCGGACGGGUGAGUAAUGUCUGGGAAACUGCCUGAUGGAGGGGGAUAACUACUGGAAACGGUAGCUAAUACCGCAUACCAUCGGAUGUGCCAAGAUGGGAUUAGCUAUGAGGUGGGUUAAAGGCUCACCUAGGCGACGAUCCCUAGCUGGUCUGAGAGGCUGACCCGCCACACUGGAACUUAGACACGGUCCAGACUCCUACGGUAGGCCGCAGUGGGGAAUAUUGCACAAUGGGCGCACGCCUGAUGCAGCCAUGCCGCGUGUAUUAAGAAGGCCUUCGGGUUGUAAAGUACUUUCAGCGGGGAGGCGUUACCCGCAGAAGAAGCACCGGCUAACUCCGUGCCAGCCGCCGCGGUAAUUC